rnacentral:rRNA from 1 species
CAGCAGCCGCGGGAAUACGGAGGGUGCAAGCGUUAAUCGGAAUUACUGGGCGUAAAGCGUGCGUAGGCGGUUCGUUAAGUCUGUUGUGAAAGCCCCGGGCUCAACCUGGGAAUGGCAAUGGAUACUGGCGAGCUAGAGUGUGUCAGAGGAUGGUGGAAUUCCCGGUGUAGCGGUGAAAUGCGUAGAGAUCGGGAGGAACAUCAGUGGCGAAGGCGGCCAUCUGGGACAACACUGACGCUGAGGCACGAAAGCGUGGGGAACAAACAGGAUUAGAUACCCCGGUAGUCCCUGUCUCUUAUAC